rnacentral:tRNA from 1 species
GCCCCCGCGGCUCGGUCGGGGCGGAGCGCGACGCCACGAACGUCGAGGUUCCGGGUUCGAGUCCGGCAGGGGCA